rnacentral:rRNA from 1 species
ACGGGGCCCGCACAAGCGGUGGAUCAUGUUGUUUAAUUCGAUGAUACGCGAAGAACCUUUACCAGGUCUUGACAUCCCCUGCAAAGCUAUAGAGAUAUAGUGGAGGUUAUCAGGGAGACAGGUGGUGCAUGGUUGUCGUCAGCUCGUGUCGUGAGAUGUUGGGUUAAGUCCCGCAACGAGCGCAACCCCUACGUUUAGUUGCUAACAGGUGAAGCUGAGCACUCUAGACGAACUGCCGUUGACAAAACGGAGGAAGGUGGGAUGACGUCAAAUCAUCAUGCCCCUUAUGUUCUGGGCUACACACGUGCUACAAUGGCCGGUACAGACGGAGGCGAAGCCGCGAGGCGGAGCAAAUCCGAAAAAGCCGGUCUCAGUUCGGAUUGCAGGCUGCAAUUCGCCUGCAUGAAGUCGGAAUCGCUAGUAAUCGCAGGUCAGCAUACUGCGGUGAAUACGUUCCCGGGCCUU